UUAAUUUGUUAGUUUUAUGGUAGAUUCUAAUACUCACUCUUAAAGGGAAAAAUCUAUAUAUGUUAUCUACGAUUCUGGAAAAAUGUUUGGAAUCUGUGUUUCCAGUUAAAAUCGCUAAGUUCAAUCGAUAAGAUAUCCCAAUUUGAACAUACCAUUGGUGUCAGCCCCAUCACGAUGUGAAAGAUAUUUAGAGUAUAUAAAGUUUUGUGGCAAAGAUGGUUUGUAGAUAAAAAAUAUUCAAAAUAUUUCUCGAAUGUAAAGACAUGCAACAAGUCAUAACAUAGAGGAGAUGUGGCAUAAAUGGUGUUUGAAGACUGACAACAACCCUUUACCUUUUUAUCUAUUGGAUUAAUUUGUCAUUGGUCAAAAUGUGUAUAUUUAAUGGUAUGAUUAAUAUUCACCGAACCUCAGAAGCAUUAUAAGUAAGAAGGAAAUUCAAAGAUCAAGGAACCUCAUCUCCAAUAAACUACAAACUUUAUAAAUAAAAUAGUUCUAAUUUAAUAAAAAAUUUAUAACUAAUGCCUAAUCUGACUUUCAUAGAAUAUAUCCUACCUACCU